rnacentral:sRNA from 1 species
GGCCUUGGAGUCGAGUCAGGGUUGCCAAAUGCCAGAUGCUGGUCACCUGCUUCUUUAUCUUGGUAACAGCUGCUGGGCCUCUCUGAGGCCACCAUAGUGACUCUUACCUACUUCGGGGCCCACUUUGCUGUCAUCCGCCAAGCGUCCCUGGAGAAGAACCCAUCCCAGGCUAUGCACCAAUGGGCCUUCUCUGCGGGGUUGAGCCUGGUGGGCCUCCUGACUCUGGGAGCUGUGCUGAGCGCUGCAGCCACCGUGAGGGAGGCCCAGGGCCUCAUGGCGGGGGGCUUCCUGUGCUUCUCCCUGGCGUUCUGCGCACAGGUGCAGGUGGUGUUCUGGAGACUCCACAGCCCCACCCAGGUGGAGGAUGCCAUGCUGGACACCUACGACCUGGUAUAUGAGCAGGCGAUGAAAGGCACAUCCCACGUCUGGCGGCAGGAGCUGGCGGCCAUCCAGGACGUGUUUCUGUGCUGUGGGAAGAGGUCUCCUUUCAGCCGUCUGGGGAACACAGAGGCUGACCUGUGUCAGGGAGAGGAGACGGCAAGAGAGGUGAGGGGGGGACCUGGAUGCUGGCCAGGCAAGACCCUCGGGGGCUGGACACCCUGGGGCCCAACCCCAAGACUCAGGGCCAUCCUCCCACCCCA